UGGUCUAUGUGCCUGUAUAUGUACGGGGAAGGGAAUGAAUGGGUUUGUAGCCGGCGCCAAGUGAUUUGUUGAGCUUUGUUUAGUUGCGGGUGCGGGGGUGGUUUGGUUUGCCUUGUUAGCUUGUAGUGCUGCGUGAU
rnacentral:lncRNA from 1 species